GUAGGGGGCAAGCGUUAUCCGGAUUUACUGGGUGUAAAGGGAGCGUAGACGGAUGGACAAGUCUGAUGUGAAAGGCUGGGGCUCAACCCCCGGGACUGCAUUGGAAACUGCCCGUCUUGAGUGCCGGAGAGGUAAGCGGAAUUCCUAGUGUAGCGGUGAAGUGCGUAGAUAUUAGGAGGAACACCAGUGGCGAAGGCGGCUUACUGGACGGUAACUGACGUUGAGGCUCGAAAGCGUGGGGAGCAAACAGGAUUAGAUACCCUGGUAGUCCACGCGGUAAACGAUGAAUGCUAGGAGUCGGGGAGCAAAGCUCUUCGGUGCCGCCGCAAACGCAUUAAGCAUUCCACCUGGGGAGUACGUUCGCAAGAAUG
rnacentral:rRNA from 1 species